AUGAACGCUAGCGGCAGGCCUAAUACAUGCAAGUCGAGGGGUAAGAGUCAGCUUGCUGACUACACGACCGGCGCACGGGUGCGUAACGCGUAUGCAGCCUACCUUUAACAGAGGAAUAGCCCCGAGAAAUCGGGAUUAAUACCACAUAACAUUAUGAUAUGGCAUCAUAUUAUAAUUAAAACUCCGGUGGUUAAAGAUGGGCAUGCGUGACAUUAGCUAGUUGGUGAGGUAACUGCUCACCAAGGCUACGAUGUCUAGGGGUUCUGAGAGGAUGAUCCCCCACACUGGUACUGAGACACGGACCAGACUCCUACGGGAGGCAGCAGUAAGGAAUAUUGCGCAAUGGAGGCAACUCUGACGCAGCCAUGCCGCGUGCAGGAUUGAAGGCCUUAUGGGUCGUAAACUGCUUUUAUUUAGGAAUAAACUUUCGUACGUGUACGAAACUGAAGGUACUAAACGAAUAAGCACCGGCUAACUCCGUGCCAGCAGCCGCGGUAAUACGGAGGGUGCAAGCGUUAUCCGGAUUUAUUGGGUUUAAAGGGUGCGCAGGCGGACCAAUUAGUCAGUGGUGAAAUCCCGAGGCUCAACCUCGGAACUGCCAUUGAUACUGUUGGUCUUGAAUACGGUUGAAGUAGGCGGAAUGUAGCAUGUAGCGGUGAAAUGCAUAGAGAUGCUACAGAACACCGAUCGCGAAGGCAGCUUACUAAACCGAUAUUGACGCUCAGGCACGAAAGCGUGGGGGAGCGAACAGGAUUAGAUACCCUGGUAGUCCACGCCGUAAACUAUGAUCACUCGUUGUUGGCAAUACACAGUCAGUGACCAAGCGAAAGCGAUAAGUGAUCCACCUGGGGAGUACGAUCGCAAGGUUGAAACUCAAAGGAAUUGACGGGGGCCCGCACAAGCGGUGGAGCAUGUGGUUUAAUUCGAUGAUACGCGAGGAACCUUACCUGGGCUCAAAUGUAAGUUGACAGUUUCUGAAAGGGAAUUUUCUUCGGACAAUUUACAAGGUGCUGCAUGGUUGUCGUCAGCUCGUGCCGUGAGGUGUCGGGUUAAGUCCCAUAACGAGCGCAACCCCUACUCUUAGUUGCCAUCAGAUAAUGCUGGGGACUCUAGGAGAACUGCCUACGCAAGUAGAGAGGAAGGUGGGGAUGACGUCAAAUCAGCACGGCCCUUACGUCCAGGGCUACACACGUGCUACAAUGGCCGGUACAGAGGGCAGCCACCUGGUGACAGGGAGCGAAUCUCUAAAGCCGGUCUCAGUUCGGAUCGAAGUCUGCAACCCGACUUCGUGAAGCUGGAAUCGCUAGUAAUCGCGCAUCAGCCAUGGCGCGGUGAAUACGUUCCCGGGCCUUGUACACACCGCCCGUCA
rnacentral:rRNA from 1 species